CCUACGGGAGGCUGCAGUGGGGAAUAUUGCACAAUGGGGGAAACCCUGCUGCAGCGACGCCGCGUGAGUGAAGAAGUAUUUCGGUACGUAAAGCUCUAUCAGCAGGGAAGAAAAUGACGGUACCUGACUAAGAAGCCCCGGCUAACUACGUGCCAGCAGCCGCGGUAAUACGUAGGGGGCAAGCGUUAUCCGGAUUGACUGGGUGUAAAGGGAGCGUAGACGGCAGCACAAGUCUGGAGGGAAAUCCCAUGGCUUAACCAUGGAACUGCUUUGGAAACUGUGCAGCUAGAGUGCAGGAGAGGUAAGCGGAAUUCCUAGUGUAGCGGUGAAAUGCGUAGAUAUUAGGAGGAACACCAGUGGCGAAGGCGGCUUACUGGACUGUAACUGACGUUGAGGCUCGAAAGCGUGGGGAGCAAACAGGAUUAGAUACCCCAGUAGUC
rnacentral:rRNA from 1 species